rnacentral:rRNA from 1 species
UACGUAGGGUGCAAGCGUUAAUCGGAAUUACUGGGCGUAAAGCGUGCGCAGGCGGUUGGGCAAGACAGAUGUGAAAUCCCCGGGCUCAACCUGGGAAUGGCAUUUGUGACUGUCCGGCUAGAGUGUGUCAGAGGGGGGUAGAAUUCCACGUGUAGCAGUGAAAUGCGUAGAGAUGUGGAGGAAUACCGAUGGCGAAGGCAGCCCCCUGGGAUAACACUGACGCUCAUGCACGAAAAGCGUGGGGAGCAAACAGG